GCCCGCUAGUUCAAGCGGUUAGAAUCCCGAAGCAUAUCCUUCGCCGGGCUCGGGGAUCCUAGGUUCAAGUCCUAGGGCGGGCACCA
rnacentral:tRNA from 1 species